rnacentral:lncRNA from 1 species
CCGACGCUUCGUCCGAUUCUUCGGCGCAUCGUCCUCUCCUGCAGCCUAUUGCCUAAUCGGCCAGUUGACUCUGCAACUCUGAUAUCCUUGGCGCAAUACCCGCUCUUCUUGGCUCGAUGCCCGAGUCCACGGCCCGAAGCCUUCUGUCAAUACGUCGACCGAUCCACCGGCCCGACGUCCAAUCUUCUGACAUGUUCCUUCGGCACAACAUGAUUUUUCCUGCUUUAAUUGUCUCAUCCUGAUC